rnacentral:rRNA from 1 species
GACGAACGCUGGCGGCGCGCCUAACACAUGCAAGUCGAACGGGAAGAUGGAGCUUGCUCCAUCUUCUAGUGGCGGACGGGUGAGUAACACGUGAGCAACCUGCCAAGGAGUGGGGGAUAACGUUUGGAAACGAACGCUAAUACCGCAUAAUAUCACGGGGAGACAUCUCUCUGUGAUCAAAGGAGAAAUCCGCUUUUUGAUGGGCUCGCGCCCGAUUAGAUAGUUGGUGAGGUAAUGGCUCACCAAGUCUGCGAUCGGUAGCCGGACUGAGAGGUUGAUCGGCCACAUUGGGACUGAGACACGGCCCAGACUCCUACGGGUGGCAG